rnacentral:rRNA from 1 species
UACGUAGGGGGCAAGCGUUGUCCGGAUUUAUUGGGCGUAAAGAGCGUGUAGGCGGCCAUGUAGGUCCGUUGUGAAAACUCGAGGCUCAACCUCGAGACGCCGAUGGAAACCAUGUGGCUAGAGUCCGGAAGAGGAGAGUGGAAUUCCUGGUGUAGCGGUGGAAAUGCGCAGAUAUCAGGAGGAACACCGAUGGCGAAGGCAGCUCGCUGGGACGGUACUGACGCUGAGACGCGAAAGCGUGGGGAGCAAACAGGAUUAGA